rnacentral:rRNA from 1 species
GACGAACGCUGGCGGCGCGCCUAACACAUGCAAGUCGAACGAGCGAGAGAGAGCUUGCUUUCUCGAGCGAGUGGCGAACGGGUGAGUAACGCGUGAGGAACCUGCCUCAAAGAGGGGGACAACAGUUGGAAACGACUGCUAAUACCGCAUAAGCCCACGGGUCGGCAUCGACCAGAGGGAAAAGGAGCAAUCCGCUUUGAGAUGGCCUCGCGUCCGAUUAGCUAGUUGGUGAGGUAACGGCCCACCAAGGCAACGAUCGGUAGCCGGACUGAGAGGUUGAACGGCCACAUUGGGACUGAGACACGGCCCAGACUCCUACGGGAGGCAGCAGUGGGGAAUAUUGCACAAUGGGGGAAACCCUGAUGCAGCGACGCCGCGUGGAGGAAGAAGGUCUUCGGAUUGUAAACUCCUGUUGUUGGGGAAGAUAAUGACGGUACC